GCCACCUGCAUUCCUCUGGAUCUCACGUUGUGUCGAUCUGAAGAAAAAUCCUGCCUUCACAGCCACCAAUCAUGGCCUCCAGUAUGUCAAUGAGGAGUUACUCAAUGAGCCGUCAGCCCUCCUUCUCCAGUCGCUCUCUGAUGGACACCGGCCGCACUCGCUCCCGUGCUUCGGUCUCUUUUGCAGCAGCCAGCCCGCUGACCCGUUCAGCCUCAAUCAGCCAGGAUCUCAACGGGCCAAUCAGUCUCCAACUUAACGGUCUGCAUGGCAACAGCACCAACGAGAAGGAAGCUAUGCAGAGUCUCAACAACCGUCUGGCCAACUACCUGGACAAGGUGCGGUCACUGGAGCGCUCCAAUGCUGACCUGGAGAUGAAGAUAAAGCAGUUGAUGAUCGACCGCAUACCCAAAGGUCAUGACCUUGAUUCCAUGAUGGCACAAGCUCAUGCUGUUGAGCAAGAGGUGAGGAAGAAGACUUUGGAGAAUGCUCGCCUCAUGUUGGAGAUCGAUAAUGCUAAACUGGCUGCUGAUGACUUCAGAAUCAAGUGGGAGACUGAGCUGGUGAUGUGUCAGUCCGUGGAGCGAGACUGUGUCGCUCUAAAAAAGGCCAAGACUGACCAUGAGCAGAUCAUCGCCUCUCUGAGGGGCGAUCUGGACAGCCUGAAAGAGGAGCUCUACUUCCUCAAGAAAAAUCAUGAGGAGGAGCUCGAGCAGAUGAAGUCUCGUAUUGCCAGAGAUGAGGUGAACGUGGAGGUGGAUUCAGCCAGCGGGCCAGAGCUGGGCACUAUUCUGUCUGACCUUCGUUCCCAGUAUGAGGGGAUUGUCAAGAAGAACAAGGAGCAGGCAGAGCAGUGGUACCGCAAGAAGCUGGAGACGGUGCAGAAUGAGGUGAAGGAGAGCAACGAAGCUCUGAGGGGAGCCCAGGGCGAGCUGACCGAGAGGCAGCGCUUCCUGCAGACCCUGGAGGUGGAGCUGGAGAGUCUGCACAAACAGAUAGCAGCGCUGGAAGGUAACCUGGGUGAGACAGGUCAGAAAUACUCCACUGAGAUGGAGCGGCUGCAGGCCACCCUGAGCCACCUGGAGGACGACCUCUCCCAGCUCAGGCUGGACAUGCAGCGCACCAAGACCGACUACGAGCAGCUCCUCCGCAUCAAGCAGAACCUGGAAAUGGAGAUCGCCACCUACAGGCGCCUGCUGGAGGGAGAGGAAACGGUCAAAGAAGUUCCUCCACCACCAAAAAAGGAGCCUGAUGUUCGCACCAGGAAAAUUGUGAAGGUGGUGACUCAGACGAUGAUCAAUGGUAAAGUGGUGGACGAGUCCAGUGAGGUGGAGCAGAUCGAGGAGACCAAGAAAUAGGAAAAAAGAAGGUGUAGAUAACAAUCACAACCGAAAGUAGCAGAAAAUGAAAGUUCAAAGCAAAACAAAGAGAGAGAAAAGAAAGAUUAGUGUCAGAAUAUUGCAUAAAUAUGGCAUUUUUGGGGCAUACUACUUGACUAUGAAUGUUUUGUGUUUUCAGAGAUAGCUAUGCAUGCUUAUAUUAUUUUUAAAUAGACGUGUGAGACGAACUGACUUACAAGUGCUACAUCUUCAUACGGUUUUACUAACAAACUGUUGUGUACUUAAAAAUAUUUAUUUCUUAGUGUGGAGAAGUUUACUGUAGUAAAUGUAAUACAUGUCUUUGCUCCUUUUACAAGAAAAACAUGUAACCGUCUUUGCUGUUUUUGUGUUUGUAUUCUGUCUGAGUAAAAAGUUUAAUUAA